UACGAGUGCCCCGAGCGUUAUCCGGAAUUAUUGGGCGUAAAGGGUGUGUAGGUGGUUGUGUUAGUCUUCUGUGAAAUUCUUCGGCUUAACCGGGGUCCCGCAGAGGAAACGGCACAACUAGAGGAUGCGAGAGGUGAAUGGAACUCAUGGAGUAGGGGUGAAAUCCGUUGAUAUCAUGGGGAACACCAAAUGCGAAGGCAAUUCACUGGCGCACUCCUGACACUGAAACACGAAAGCGUAGGUAGCGAAUGGG
rnacentral:rRNA from 1 species